UACGUAGGGAGCAAGCGUUGUCCGGAAUCAUUGGGCGUAAAGCGCGCGUAGGCGGCCCUGUAAGUCCGUUGUGAAAGUCAAAGGCUCAACCUUUGAAAGCCGAUGGAUACUGCAGGGCUAGAGUCCGGAAGAGGCGAGUGGAAUUCCUGGUGUAGCGGUGGAAUGCGUAGAUAUCGCUUGGAACGCCGAAGGUGAAAACAGGCUGCUGGGGUUGCGCCGACGCUGAGACACGAAAGCCAGGGGAGCAAACGGG
rnacentral:rRNA from 1 species